UGUCACCUCUCCUGUCCCAACAUGAUUGGAAACUUGGAUAGGAUCCUUUUAUUGUGAUGUGAGGAAGCGAUGGUCAACGGAACACUUGGGGAAAGAGGAGUGCAGGAUACAGAGCAGGAUCUUCUCAGUUCUACAACACAGCUUUCUCCAGUGAAGCAGUAGGACACCUUCUCGGCAGACACCAGAAAGGAGGCAAAGGAGCCCUGUUUACCUGACCAGGACCUGUUCAUCAUCCUAUGCGAACCAUUUAUCAUCCCUUUGCCAGGUCUGGAUAAGCAGGAUUAACAAGUCUACGCAUCAAUACUGUCUACAACCAGGAGUUGUGUGUUCACAUGUAAUGCAUCUGUAGAAGGAUCACUUUGGUGUUUUGUGCUUUAUCCCCUCUGAUCUGGUGAAAUUCUUGCCUAAAAUCUCAAGGAUUUAAAAAAUGAAAACAUGUGGCUGCCUGCGCCCUGAGACUGACUCAGAAGACGAAGAGAGACCACCUCGGCGAUGUAGCGAUGUAUCCGAUAGUGAAAUGAAAGAGACUGGGAAACCCAAGGUUGAUGCAGAUGGAAUCUUGCUAGCAGCAGCCGUGGGUGCAAACAGAGCCCAGUCGAAUCAAAGAGAGCGUGAAAAGGAACGUCUUAAACUGAGGGAGCGAGAGCGGAGGAGAGAGGCGGAAAAACAGAAAGAAAGGCAUAAAAAUGCAGAGAGGGAAAAGGAGAGGAAGAGACAGAGAGACAGACAAAGACAGACUGAGAAACAAAGGCAGAAACAUUCUGAAAAAAAGCGGAAAAAAAAGGUUAUGUAAGCAAUUACAGGAAAAUAAACAACCAAAGGAGUUUAUUCACUGAACGAGAAAGUGAGGAGAACUGACAAGAGAACUGCAUGUUUUAGGCCGUAAUAGUUGAGUGGUAAAAAUAGUUGGAUAAUUUUUUCAAUGUGCAGUUUCUGUGUUCAUUCUGCAAUUACCAGUUUAGUGAAUAAACGCCAAAGGGUUAAUUGAGAUGUAGUGAGACAUAAAAGCUAAUUUGUAAACCACUGAUAAACACGUUAAAGCCUAUGCUUCUACAUACAGCCUUAACACAUUGGUGUGUGGCGUACUUGAAAAUCUUUGUAUACAUAUCAUUCACAUCAGUAUGAAACUUUAGGAGUCCCGACAAAUACAUCAAUAGUGGGAAAAUUGCCUAAGUACUUAUCCAUUGUUAUCUAGAGCAUAUACAAUGUUUAAAAAAGUAUGCAGUCAUUGGCCUUUGUUCAAAAGUAAACCACACAGCAACCAUCAAUCUCAUUUUCAAUGUAUUUUUAUAUUUCUUUGGCAUUCAUGUAUGUGAUGUUUCUUACGAACAAGUAAACACAAUGUCAACGUUUUCAUAUAAUGUGUAUAUUUAGACGCACUAUAUUUGAAAUCACAAACCGAGAGACAAUAAAGAGAUCAUUACAAAUUAUUGGGAAAAAAGCCAAAUUUGUAAAAAAACACUUUGUUUUAAACGCAACUAUUUAGCCCUUACGUUUGCAAUUCUGUGUUAAAUGCCCUACAAGUCACAGCUUGAUGAUUGCAUUUGUUAAUCUAUUACUAUUUGUAAAGUUGCAUAUACAAAUAUAUAGAUAAUAUUGUAUACAGUUUUUGUUUGUGAAGGAAACUUAUAUUAAGCAAGCAACACAUAUAAAGUUUAUAGCUGUGAAUACUCUAGAAACAUUACUUCGCAGUGAUGUUGAGAGUGGAUUAUGAUUUGUCACAUGUGUGUUUGCGUGUUCUAAAAUAGAAUAGAACAAUGUCAACAAUG